rnacentral:sRNA from 1 species
ACGCAAACAGAAGCAGCAAGCGAAAGGCUUGAAGAUUGGUUACCAGGAUCGCAAGUUCAUUUGUGAACAUUCUAUGCUGUGUAUGUGAAGAGAUAUUUUCCACUGUGAGGUGAGAGAAGGGAAAUGGUGCAAUAUAUCUAAAGGUUAGGUAGGGCUUGACCUGAAUGAAGACUGGACAACCAUUGCAAGAGCUUCCACAACUAACUUACCGUCCCACGUAUUUUUAGUAUAAUCUGGAUGGGCGAGGGUGAGCGAGAACGAGGUCUAAGAUAUUGAAACCGGAUUCAUUAAACCUUCGAAGUUAUAUAUAUACAAUAGGUUUACACCUCCCAUCUUGUAUGUCCGCCUGUCCCAUCCUUUCCAUCAUGGGAAUAUCCAUCCAACAGUAACACGCCCUUACCAGGAUGUACCACUACGAAAUACGUUCGCUGGCCUCUGCAUCUCCAUAUUGCUUCGCUGCGCUUGGCCCGUAUCCGAAUUCGGCUCUCGCGGUGUAUACGCUGGCGGCGGUUGAUCUACUUCGACAG